CAAAGAAAGAAAAAUUAUCUGAUCCUAAAAGGAAAGAAAGACAAUAAAGAAGCUACUGAAAAAGUAAACAAACUGUAAAGAAAAUCAAAGAAAAACGUGCCCACUCCCUUGGGGAAAGAGAUUUCCCGUCCCACUCUUAUCAUCUUUCUAGGAGGCGCCGACGGUUCCAUUUCUACCAAAAAAAAACUGUCAAACUUCUUUCCCUGAAUUGAGACAAUCAUUCAGUCGAAGCAUCCCUGUCCAGAUUUGAUGCUUCGGUAACCCAGGAAACCGGAAAAACCAAGAACCGUUCAUUUGUCAGUCAGGCUCGCGCAGCCAAUCAUCGGACAAAGUUGUUGCAGUGGAGUCCGGGACAGACCCGAUCAGGCAUGUAAGGGCUUCCCCGGCGAAAGCUGAUCCCACAUUGUCGUGCACAACUGCUUUAGACGCUAUUACCACACCCUCGCUAUUUCGAGCAACCAGCCCUGUACCUGAUCUAUACAGUUCCAUGACAAAAGCCGUAUCAAAGUUUACUUUGAUAAAAAUCGGUAGGAGGAGGAUUCUAGAUGACUUUAUCACCCUGGACGACCAGAUGACCCAAACAGAGCAGCAAACAAUCCUUCAUUGAGUGUGCGAGCAGACAUUAAAAACCGCACCCCUGACUAGGUCGGUUUAAUAAAUCAAUGACGCCUAAAAUUUCCCAAACUUCAUUUGAAACAGGACAAAGGCCGAAGGCAUGAUCUACUGUUUCUGCUCCUCCCUCACAAAUGGGACACAUUGCGUCUGGAACCAGCUUCUUCAAGAAUAAGUUUGGCAUGGUAGGGAUAUAAUUUUUUGAAAUACGCCAGACAGUAAUUUUUAGCUUGGAAGGCAGAUUUAAGUUCCAUAAUUUACGAUGGAAACUUUUACAUGUAGCUUGUAAUUCCUUUAAUCUAGGAGAAACACUAUUGAUUUGUAACAAUUUGUAAGCACUGCGAACGGAAAACUCACCAGAUGCUUACCCCCACCAAACCAGGACUUCAUCAUGUGGUUCAAGUGCCAGCGGGAUCUGAAGGAUUCUUGAUGCAUCAUCCUCAUCAAAGAUGGAAGUAAUAGUAUCCUAUUUCCAUUCUCUAUUAUCAUCAAUAAGCUCAGACACAAAUUCAAGAUUACAA